CGCAAAUCUGCAGUUGAAAUAGUAGAAGACCAACCAUGAACAUCUGGAAAUAGGUUAUGGAGAGAAACAUUACACUGAUAAUAAGGACUUAUGAUUGGCUGACAGGAAGGAUGAGCUAUAAUAUUUGCUGAUCUAAAAAUCAGUAAGAUUUUUGAAAUCACUUCAUGUAAGGAGGAUAGAGAUAUAUCUACCCUUCAUAACUUCACGGGACCAGUUGCGGCUCAGAAGAAGCUUCCGCAGAUUCUGGAUUCAUCUCUAUGGGAUAAAUAAUUCAUUGCCAAUAAAUUUAACGUUUAAUGUUUUUAUCCCCAAAUAUUCCAAUAAUUUCAUAUAAAUGGAGGAUUCAUUGGAAUGAAAAAGAAUAGAUUUUAAACUUACUACAAUGAGAUGAUAACAGAAUCUUUUGCAUCCAAUGUUGAAAAAGCAUUAUUAUUGACUUCUUCUUCAAAUGGUUCAUAAUCUAAACAAAAUUCAUCUUCAUCGAGAGCCAACUGAUUCCUUUCUGGGAAAGUAGCUGAAAAUCAUUAAUCUCAAUAUAUAUUAUAUAGAAAAUGAAAUACAUUCAUUGCAAUUAUCAACUGUAUCGCACCUAUAUUUGGAUUAUCUGAUCGUUGCUUAUUGAUGAAUUCUGGAACAUACUUUAAAUUAUACGAAUCUUCUGAUUUAAUAUCAGUUUCUUCUAUUAUGUCAUUCCUAACAGCAUUACAAUUUUUCAAAUUUACGUUAUUAUUAAAUUUACAUGAUACCCCACUGUCUCU